GACGUAGGGCGCGAGCGUUGUCCGGAUUUAUUGGGCGUAAAGAGCUCGUAGGCGGCUUGUCGCGUCGACCGUGAAAACCCGCGGCUUAACUGUGGGCUUGCGGUCGAUACGGGCAUCACUGGAGUUCGGCAGGGGAGACUGGAAUUCUUGGUAUAGCGGUGAAAUGCGCAGAUAUCAGGAGGAACACCGGUGGCGAAGGCGGGUCUCUGGGCCGGAUAACUGACGC
rnacentral:rRNA from 1 species